rnacentral:sRNA from 1 species
AAACAUGAAUCAUGAAUCAGUAACUUACUUGUGAUUUUAGUAGAAAACAUGGAUUAUUAGUAAAAUGCACAUUAUCUUUAAAAAAUAUUAUCUUAUCAAAAAAUACAAACGUUUUAGGAAAAUAUACAUAUCAAAUAGAAAAAUAGCAUGAAUUAUUCAAAAAUUACAUGCUAUCGUUUGAAUUGAGACACACGGAUCAUUGUAAUUUUAGUAAAGAACAAAUAUUAUUUAAAAGAAACUUUGAAAAAUACAAUGUUUUAGAAUAAAAAUACAUGUCAACAAAAGUAAACGGCGGUGGUGAUGAAUACGGAAGAGGCGGUGGUGUUAUGGAUAUGAUGGUGGUGAAUACGGAGGCGGUAGUGUUUACAGAUCUAGUAAUACUAAAUACGGAGGAGGCGGUGGUGUUACAGAUCUAGUGGUGGUUAUUGUUGUAAGGGAAGAAGAGGUUAUGGAAGCUUUAGUAGUAAAGCUAUUUGCCUAUAAAACUAUUUGUCCCCUCAACCAAAAUCCUAUUAUAAGAAUAUGAGAGUAAUUUAAAGUUGGUUUCCGACAGGUACUAUACGUCCAUGAUUAGUUUCUAUAAUAUUAUGGAUUUCAUGGUCAUCUAGUACAUAUACCCAUAAAAAAAUGGUAUAUUUUAUAUGAGAAGUAUCGCAUCAUGUCAAUAGAAGGGUAAAAAUGUAUAAAUAAGACAUGAAAUUUAAAACAAGAAAAAAUCAAACAAUUAUAAAAUCUACAAGAAAACCUAUAUAAUU